rnacentral:rRNA from 1 species
ACGAAGCCCGGGCGGUGAAUAGCCGACUCGGGUGACGGUACCUCCAGAAGAAGCCCCGGCUAACUACGUGCCAGCAGCCGCGGUAAUACGUAGGGGGCAAGCGUUGUCCGGAAUCAUUGGGCGUAAAGCGCGUGUAGGCGGUCCGGUAAGUCGGCUGUGAAAGUCCAGGGCUCAACCCUGGGAUGCCGGUCGAUACUGCCGGACUAGAGUUCGGAAGAGGCGAGUGGAAUUCCCGGUGUAGCGGUGAAAUGCGCAGAUAUCGGGAGGAACACCAAUGGCGAAGGCAGCUCGCUGGGACGUUACUGACGCUGAGACGCGAAAGCGUGGGGAGCAAACAGGAUUAGAUACCCUGGUAGUCCACGCCGUAAACGAUGGGCACUAGGUGUGGGAGGUGUCGACUCCUCCCGUGCCGGAGCUAACGCAUUAAGUGCCCCGCCUGGGGAGUACGGCCGCAAGGCUAAAACUCAAAGGAAUUGACGGGGACCCGCACAAGCAGCGGAGCAUGUGGUUUAAUUCGACGCAACGCGAAGAACCUUACCUGGGUUUGACAUGUUCCUGACCGCCCUGGAAACAGGGCUUCCCUUCGGGGCAGGAUCACAGGUGGUGCAUGGCUGUCGUCA